rnacentral:tRNA from 1 species
AGGCGACCACUACCCGCGGGACCGUGAGGAAGCCUUGUCAGCCGAGUCGCAUGCAAAGUUCCAC